GACGAACGCUGGCGGCGUGCUUAACACAUGCAAGUCGAACGGAAAGGCCCUGCUUUUGUGGGGUGCUCGAGUGGCGAACGGGUGAGUAACACGUGAGUAACCUGCCCUUGACUUUGGGAUAACUUCAGGAAACUGGGGCUAAUACCGGAUAGGAGCUCCUGCUGCAUGGUGGGGGUUGGAAAGUUUCGGCGGUUGGGGAUGGACUCGCGGCUUAUCAGCUUGUUGGUGGGGUAGUGGCUUACCAAGGCUUUGACGGGUAGCCGGCCUGAGAGGGUGACCGGCCACAUUGGGACUGAGAUACGGCCCAGACUCCUACGGGAGGCAGCAGUGAGGAAUAUUGCACAAUGGGCGGAAGCCUGAUGCAGCAACGCCGCGUGCGGGAUGACGGCCUUCGGGUUGUAAACCGCUUUCGCCUGUGACGAAGCGUGAGUGACGAUAAUGGGUAAAGAAGCACCGGCUAACUACGUG
rnacentral:rRNA from 1 species